GCGUUGCUCCUGGCGCGUUCUUGGAGGAGCGGUGCAGGCGCCGAGGCUGCGGCUGGGAGUCGUCCGGCCGGUCCCUACCGGGUUGCGUGACGGGUCUGAAAAGGGGGUCUGCACGUUGCUAAGUAGUGUUUCCUGCAGUGGGCUGUCAGGAGUCCUCUGAUGGAGAGCUGACCUAGUCUGUGCUGCCAGACAGAAAGGAACCUUGAUCAGCAAUGCGCGCUCGAGGCGCAGCAGGAUCAUUUAAAAAUCUAAGACAGGACUUCCCUGAUGGUGCAGUGGUUAAGAAUCUGCCUGCCAAUGCAGGGGACACGGGUUUGAGCCCUGGUCCAGGAAGAUUCCACAUGCCGUGGAGCAGCUAAGCCCAUGCGCCACAACUACUGAGCCUGUGCUCUAGAGCCCACGAGCCACAACUACUGAAGCGCAUGUGCCACAACUACUGAAGCCCGUGUGCCUAGAGCCCGUGCUCCGCAACGAGAAGCUACCGCAGUGAGAAGCCUGUGCACCACAACAAAGAGUAGCCCCUGCUCGUCGCAACUAAAGAAAGCCUGCGCGCAGUAAUGAAGACACAACGCAGCCCAAAAUAAACAAACAAAUAAAUAAAUUUAUUAAAAAACAAAAA